GGAAGGACUUGGUGAUCAAAGGCAGUGUUUUUAGGGCAUUUCUUGAGACUGGUCUUCUUGUGGUUAAGGCUAGACUGGCACUCAGGAGAUCUGCCACAAACUCAUGUGACCCUGGGCAAGUCAUCUAGUCUCUCUGUGCCUCAGUUCCCCAUCUGAAGAGUUGGAAGUUUUUCAUAAUAUCUAACCAAAUCUCCCUUGCAGCAGAUUAAGCCCUUUACUUCUUGUCCUUCUCACCAUCUUCUUUAUAACAGUGCUUAAUAUAUUUGAAGACUGUUAUCUGGUUCCCCCCUCAGUCAUCUUUCUUUUAGAUCCAAGUUUAAUAUUUAGCUCUCUUUCUAUAAUAACUAUAAUCCCUACCACCAGCAAAUAAAGGCUUAGGCUGGCAUAAAUUCCCCCAAGUAAAACAUUCAUGUUUAAUACAAGAACUGCUAAUCCUUUGAAAAAUUACUGUUAUGGGACUUGUGAUUGUUGUGCAUAGUUUCAUGGCUCAGAAAUGUAUCAUAGAAUAUCAGGGUUGGAAGGGACCUCAGGAGGUCAUCUAGCCCAACCCCCUGCUCAAAGCAGGACCAAUCCCCAAACAUUGUACAUUCCCCUUUCUUUCUCCAAGAAUGCCAAGUAAGGAAUUGCUAACCAUAAAUGUGUUCCGUCGAGAAACAAGGAAAAUCAGUUACAUUGAUCUAUCUGAUUUAAUGACUUCCAUGAAAGAUUAAUAAAGUCCAGAAUGUUAUGCACUGUGAAUAAAGCAACCAAAAGGUCUGGUAAGAUUUCUCCUUUCCAUUUGCAGAGUGAAAUAUCAUAGGCAGUUCUUCCAAAAAGCUAGACAAUACAAAAUAUUCAAUAUACUUUAAGAUGGUUUAGGAAAGCACUCAUGAUUUUAGCUACAGAUUUUAUCUUGAUUCUCAUGAUAUUAGAUGUUUCAUAAAUCCCCAGCUGCUGGAGUCAUGUGAUCAGGUGAAAAUCUCAGCUUUUCAUUUAAGAAAAGAGUAAAAAAGACUUAAAAAUGUGACCUAUGAGUGACCUGAGGGCUGGGGAAAAAAAGCCAAAGUUAAAAGCACCCAACAUUUAUUUAUUUUGCUCAUGUUUUUUAAUCCAAUUACAGGAUUUUGGGGGGGGGGGGACUGUCUCAUUAUUUUUAAAUGCUUGCAGUUGGCAGUGCUGGAACUUGCAAACUGGUUCUUUUCAUCCAGCCCCAAGAAGCAAUGGGCAAAGGAUGAAUCCAAGCCCAAACAGCUCCAAAGCUUUUGAGUGUUUGGAUGUGGGAUUUUAGUUCUGCUCAGCAAGGUGAUAGUGGCUCAGCAACGUCACUUGGCUCUUGGAUCUGAUCGUCCCAGGUCUUUGGCUACUGUACAAAGUAACAUAUCAGUGCUGUUUUACACCAGCAGGGCAUCUAGCUCUUUUCUGUUUAUGGUUUAGCUCCUUGUGACUAUGGAGGAUUCCCACUCUAGAGUGCUUGGGAUAAGGGUGCAAAAUCGGGAAUAACUGGCUAGGCAGUAGUACUUCAGAAAAGGGUCUGGGAGUGAUAGUGGCUCACAAACAGAAUGAACCAGCAGUUUGAUUACUCACUUACUUAGCACUUAGUUCUGCCUGUGUCGCUGACACAUUGGGCAGUCCAGUUCCUCCAUACAUUAUGGUCACGCAUUAUAUGUGAUACUUUUUCCCAGAUAAUGCCAGUGCAUUCAAUAUCCUUUGUCACUGUCUUCUGCCAGUUCUUCCAUGGCCUUCCUCAUUUUCUCUUUCCUCCCUCGGGUACCUAAUUCAAUGCUUGCUUAGCAUGUCUCUCAUCUUCUAUAUGGAGUACAUGUCCCAACCACUGAGCUUCUUUCUUUGAUGACAUUGUCUGACAUGUCCUGCUCUGUCAGCUCCCCUACUCUCACAUUUUAUAUUUUGUCUUUCCCUGAAAUGUGUAGUAUCUUCCUCUGCCAUCUGUGAUGGGCGGCCUCCAAUUUCUUUUUGUUAGUCACUGUCAUCGGCCACGUCUCUGCUCUAUAAGGUAGCAUGCUCAAUUCAGUCGCAUGGCAUAAACUGUCCUGGAGUUUGUUGUGGUGGGUGACCUUGUUUGACCAGAUAUUGUUCAUGAUUCCAAAAGUGGUAUUUGCUUUUCCUAUUUUCAUAUCUUUAUCGCAGCCACCUUCAAAGGUCAUCACCCUCCUUAGGUAGCAGAACUCUUCUACCUGUUCAAUUUCUUUUCCAGCCAUGUACACCUUUCGCUCUGUUGUCCUCUUUCUUAUCUUCAUAAUCUAGGUGUUCGCUGCAUUUACUUUGAAUCCAUUUUUUGCUGCUUUCUGUUCUCCCUCUGAUGAAAGGGCAAUCAUUCCUGUUCCAUGUCACGCUUCAACGUCAUUGGCAAAGUCUAGGUCGUGUAACUUAUCUCCGCUAUCCCAUUUUCCACCAUCCACCAGGCCUUUUGUUGCCUGCUUCCUCACCCAUGCUACUGGUAGCAUAAAAAGAAUUGGGGAUAACCCACAUCCUUGCCUAAACGCCAGUCAUAAUGUUGAACUUCUCCACCCAGGCCUGUAUCUGAUCUUACUGCCUAUCUGCUUCCAUGAUAUAAAUUCAUUAUGUUAAUCAUUUUGGCUGAUAGCCCAUCGUUUCUAGCAUGUGAAAGCUCCGGGGGGUGACAGAAUUCCAGCAGAGGUACUCAAGGUGCAAGGUGAAAUUCUAAAUGAACAGUUAACAAAAUAUAGAAGAAAGAAGAAGUGCCACUAGCAGGAAAAGAUGGUAUCAUCAUGGCAUUGCCAAAAAAGGAACUGAAGCCAGAAAACAAGCCAUUUCCAUUGUGAUUCUGACCCAGACUCCAAACUACAGGGACAGGUUUUGGAUCCAGGCAUUAGAAUUCAACCCACUCUCACUCCCAAAAUUCCAAUCAAUGGGAUCCAAUUUGAGCUUCUCUUCUCGGCCUCUCACAUGGAAACACUGUCCACAGGAAACAGGAUUGGACUGCAACAACAGCCCAUCUUCACUACCUUCUCUUUCCUGUGAAAAGGCCAGUUAUUACCAUCUUUAAUACCACCGCCAGUAUUAAAACAGAUUUGAUUCCCCCUCGGUCCAGGAGGAUUAAUGGAGACUGCAGGUGAAGAUGAACCGAAUACCCUACACGCACACGCCUGCGAGACACUGGCUGAACCUGAACUCAGCUCUAUGGCUGGCAGCCACCUCAGGAGAUGCCCACUAAAAGUCAGUUCCUAAUGGACAAGAGCCCAGAUCAUAAAACUACCAGCAGAGCCAGUACUAAUUGACACCCUCGUUAGCCAGCUCAGCAGAAAGGCCUAGUUGCAAAUGGACCAUGGAGUUCCAACUACCUCUCCACUUAUAUCAAUGGCCCUAAGGACCAAUGGCAUAAAGAUAUUGGGACCUAAGGUUCAACCCACCUAGCCCUCCAAGCAUAACAAUGGAUCGAACCCUGAGAUGAGGUGCUGAGCCCUAAAGGAACUGCAGGUGCUUCACAUCUUUCAGGAUUUCCAGUGACUGGGAAGAUCCCAUCUGAGAAUGAGAAGGAAGCUGAAAUACCCUGGAACAGCUGAUCAGUCAAGGGAAAGUUAACAUCUCUGUGACAGUCACUGGUGCAACCGCUGCCUACAGUUACACCUAUGUAAAAAGCUGAGUAGCUCUGUUGAAGUUAAUGGGGAAACUGCGCACUUAAGGCCUGCUCCAACUUCACUGGAAGUGAAUGGGAGUUUUUCCCUUAGCAUCACUGAGAUUUGGCUCAGGGCCAUAUGCCAGCAGGAUGGAGAGCAGAAUUUGAACUGCACAAAAUAUCUGCAGUAUCGUGGUAUGAGUAAAACUCUUUAGGGGCAACUUCUGCCCUGAUCUACUGCAGCCUGUGCAAUCCCCAGGGCUUCAGGGUUUGUAAAAUAGAGCAAAUCUGAAUUUCAUUUACAGUCUUAAGAACAGGUGAGGUUGCUUUAGGGGAACACUGACCUAUACAAACCCCUGAAAGCAAGGAAAUGUCCAAGUAGCCAUCCAAGAUUUUCAAAAGAGACUCGUCAUUUAGGAGUACCAUAAUUUUUAGAUGCCCAACCAGACACCUUUAAAGGGCCUGAUUUUCAACAAGCUCUGAGCACCCACCCUCUCAAAAAUGAAGCCUCUUUAAAGUGUCUCAAAUAGGCAGCCAACAACUGUGAUGCCUUAAACAAGUUGGCCGCCUUCUUUAAAGUCCCAAAAGCCCCUCACAGCAUUGGCAGACUCUACCUUCUAAGUAACCCCCAAAGUAUACAGUAAGACAAUGCAUGUACCACGUUCCUCACGCUCACCCAAGCACUAAAAUCCUUAACCUUGACCUCAGCAACCACAGGUUCCAUGACAGUUAGGCACAACUGUUACACUCGCAAUCGGGAUCGGCUUUAGGAGGUGCGGGGCCCAAUUCAAACAGUUUCGAUGGGGCCCCAGCAGGGAUGACUAAAAAAAACCCAAAACCCCAUAAAAAAACACAUGGGGCUUGUACUCACCGGGCGGUGCUCCAAGUCUUUGGCGGCACUUUGCCGGCGCGUCCUUCACUCACUCCAGGUCAUCAGUGGCACUGAAGGACCCACCGCCGAAGACCCAGAGCAAGUGAAGGACCCACCGCCGAAGUGCCGCUGAAGACCCGGCGCGCCGCCAGGUGAGUAAAAAUUAAAAAGGCGCCUCCAGCCAGGGAAGCGAUUCUCACUGGGCGCAGGGCCCUCUUAGGCACAGAGCCUGAUUCAGGGGAAUUGGUGGAAUAGGCCUAAAGCCGGCCCUGCUCGCAAUCUGCAGGAGGUGUUAUUUCUCAUGGCGAAGUCUGAGGCUUGCGUCCUGAUGAUUUCCUGCUGCCAGAAAUCCCCAUCGGGGCCAGAGCAGCAGGGGGCUGACAUUAAGGCACCCUCCCGUUAGUGUAUAACUCUGGCUCUCACCAUUAGCCCACACGUAUUUCAGCUUCUUUUGAUCAGAAGAGCAAUUCCGAGUGAUUGCAAGUGAGCAACUGCAAGUGAGCGAGUGAGAUUUGCCAAUAAAAUCGUAAGAGCUAUCCCAUCUGCUCCCCUACACACAACAUCAGGUCUCAGAUUCCCUCUGGGUGCUAAAAGGCAGCAUUUUCCUUUGGUGCAUCUAUUAUUAUUUUGUGCAUAGUAAUUUCCUGUAACAUCUCUCCGGGACUGUAAAUAGCGUAAGGCAGCUACUUGUGUGUGUGAGAUGAUUUUUUCCAAACAUGAAUAUUCCAGCUUCACACACACACACACACACACACCCGCCCGCCCACCAGCGCACUAUGGUUGGCCCAAUAUAAAGUCAGUUAUGUACAAAUAUCCUGAGUUAAUUUGAUGUAUUAAUGUGUGAGUGGGAAACAUCAAUCAAAUAAAGGAGCAAGUAUCAUGGAGAAAUAAAACCUGUGGCUAUGCGUUGCUUGGUCCUAACCUGUGCUGAACUGGAACACAAGAUGGGGAAAGAGUCUGUAGGGAUCCUCUCUCACUGUGCAAGAGGCAUGCGUUCAAGAAGGCUGUAAGAGGGACCAGGAUAACAUG